rnacentral:tRNA from 3 species
GCGCCCGUAGCUCAGUUGGAUAGAGCGUCUGGCUACGAACCAGAAGGCCGGGGGUUCGAGUCCCUCCGGGCGCGCCA